CUUAAGACCACGUGAGAGAAAUGCUUUCAAAGGUUUUACAGAUAUGCUGUUUAGUUUCAAUUUCGGUUUGGAAUGUUGACAGUGUUUGUAAUGAGACUCUUUCAUGUGUAACACAAGAAGGCAAGAAUGGGUAUUGCAUGGUAGGACAGUGCUUAACAGAAGUCCAGUCUCGGCCAAGAUCCGACCUAGCGAUUCGGAUAGUGGCUAAAUACCCAGAGAUUAACAUGAAGGAAAUUAAAAACAACGUGUUAUAUAUCAGAGGAAGUGGACUUGGUUUAAACUGGAAGACAGGAAAGAAAAUGACAAAAACUUUGACUGAUACAUGGGAAAUAAACUUCAACUUUACAUCAUCAGAUGAUGGCUUCCGAUGCCAAGACUUUUCAAAUGACGAAUCCAUUACUAAGAAGC